rnacentral:ncRNA from 1 species
AUUCAAAUAUGAUAUAUGUCCAGAUAUGCAAGUAUAUGCAUGAGAAGUCAUACAUAAUACAAAACAUACACAUUAAAAGUACCCUGUUGAUGUUGUUGAAAAUCCAAUGACGGAUCCUUGGAUCUAGGUUAGAGGGUAGUGUCUUUUUAGAUCGGCUACCACAUCCAAGGAAGGCAGCGGGCGUGCAAAUUACCCACUCCCGGCACGGGGAGGUAGUAACGAAAAAUAACGACGCGGGACUCUGUCGAGGCCCCGCGAUGGGAAUGAAUAUAUAUAUAUAUAUAUA